UGGCGGCGUGGAUAAGACAUGCAAGUCGAACGGGACCAGGUUUGUAGCAAUACAGGCUUGGUUCAGUGGCGCACGGGUGCGUAACACGUGAGCAAUCUGCCGGGAAGUGGGGGAUAGCUCGCCGAAAGGCGAAUUAAUACCGCAUGUGGCCAUUCUUCGAGUGGAGGAAAAGCCAAAGCAGCAAUGCGCUUCCUGAUGAGCUCGCGGCCUAUCAGCUAGAUGGCGGGGUAAUGGCCCACCAUGGCUUUGACGGGUAGCUGGUCUGAGAGGACGACCAGCCACACUGGAACUGAGAUACGGUCCAGACACCUACGGGUGGCAGCAGUCGAGAAUUUUUCACAAUGGGGGCAACCCUGAUGGAGCGACGCCGCGUGGAGGAUGAAGGCCUUCGGGUUGUAAACUCCUGUCAUGCGGGAACAAGCAAGUGAUAGUACCGCAAGAGGAAGAGACGGCUAACUCUGUGCCAGCAGCCGCGGUAAUACAGAGGUCUCAAGCGUUGUUCGGAUUCAUUGGGCGUAAAGGGUGCGUAGGUGGUGACGCAAGUCUGGUGUGAAAUCUCGGAGCUCAACUCCGAAAUUGCACCGGAUACUGCGUGACUCGAGGACUGUAGAGGAGAUCGGAAUUCACGGUGUAGCAA
rnacentral:rRNA from 1 species